UGGCGGACGGGUGAGUAGCGGUUGAGUAACCUGCCGUAUACCGGGGGAUAACCGUUAGAGAUGACUGCUAAUACCGCAUAAUCGCACAGUGCGGCAUGGCACAGUGUGAAAAACUCCUGGUGGUAUAUGAUGGACUCGCGUCUGAUUAGUUAGUUGGUGAGGUAACGGCUCACCAAGACAGCGAUCAGUAUCCGACUUGAGAGAGUGAUCGGCCACAUUGGGACUGAGACACGGCCCAAACUCCUACGGGAGGCAGCAGUGGGGAAUAUUGCACAAUGGGGGAAACCCUGAUGCAGCGACGCCGCGUGAGUGAAGAAGUAUUUCGGUAUGUAAAGCUCUAUCAGCAAGGAAGAUAAUGACGGUACUUGACUAAGAAGCCCCGGCUAACUACGUGCCAGCAGCCGCGGUAAUACGUAGGGGGCAAGCGUUAUCCGGAUUUACUGGGUGUA
rnacentral:rRNA from 1 species